CGGAUCAGGUAGGGAUACCCGCUGAACUUAAGCAUAUCAAUAAGCGGAGGAAAAGAAACCAACAGGGAUUGCCUCAGUAACGGCGAGUGAAGCGGCAAGAGCUCAAAUUUGAAAGCUGGCUCCUUCGGGGUCCGCAUUGUAAUUUGCAGAGGAUGCUUCGGGAGUGGCCCCCAUCUAAGUGCUCUGGAACGGGCCGUCAUAGAGGGUGAGAAUCCCGUAUGGGAUGGGGUGUCCGCGACCAUGUGAAGCUCCUUCGACGAGUCGAGUUGUUUGGGAAUGCAGCUCUAAAUGGGUGGUAAAUUUCAUCUAAAGCUAAAUAUUGGCCGGAGACCGAUAGCGCACAAGUAGAGUGAUCGAAAGAUGAAAAGCACUUUGAAAAGAGAGUUAAAAAGCACGUGAAAUUGUUGAAAGGGAAGCGCUUGCGACCAGACUCGCCUACGGGGUUCAGCCGGUAUUCGUACCGGUGUACUUCCCCGUGGGCGGGCCAGCGUCGGUUUGGGCGGCCGGUCAAAGGCCCUCGGAAUGUAACGCCUCUCGGGGCGUCUUAUAGCCGAGGGUGCCAUGCGGCCAGCCCGGACCGAGGAACGCGCUUCGGCACGGACGCUGGCAUAAUGGUCGUAAGCGACC
rnacentral:rRNA from 1 species